rnacentral:rRNA from 1 species
UGACGGUCAAGUCCUCAAUGGCCUUUUAUGUCUACGGGCUACACACGGUGCUACAAUGGGUGGUACAAAGAGCAGCUAACUCGCGAGAGGUGUGCAAAUCUCAAAAAGCCAUCCUCAGUUCGGAUUGGAGUCUGCAACUCGACUCCAUGAAGUUGGAAUCGCUAGUAAUCGCGGAUCAGCAUGCCGCGGUGAAUACGUUCCCGGGCCUU